AAGUCGUAACAAGGUUUCCGUAGGUGAACCUGCGGAAGGAUCAUUAACACGUAUCCAACGUUAAACAACCCCGUGAACCUUCAGCCUGCUCUCGUAGCCCACGCGGCAACAGCAAUCCCGGUAAAUCAUUGACGACCAGUUUUGAUUCGGGACCUCUGUUACGAUGUGAGAAGUUACAGUUUGCUAGAGGUCGAUCACCGACCGGCAGACAUGUCACAGGGUCCCCAUGCCCCUUACCUCACCCCAUUACUAAUGACUAGCUUAGCGGUAACGCGCUGAGUAAAAAAAAACCGAACAACUGUUAACAAUGGAUAUCUUGGUUCUC
rnacentral:misc_RNA from 1 species